CCUACGGGAGGCAGCAGUGGGGAAUAUUGGGCAAUGGGCGCAAGCCUGACCCAGCAACGCCGCGUGAAGGAAGAAGGCUUUCGGGUUGUAAACUUCUUUUAUCAGGGACGAAACAAAUGACGGUACCUGCUGAAUAAGCCACGGCUAACUACGUGCCAGCAGCCGCGGUAAUACGUAGGUGGCAAGCGUUAUCCGGAUUUACUGGGUGUAAAGGGCGUGUAGGCGGGCUUGCAAGUCAGAUGUGAAAUUCCAGGGCUCAACCCUGGAACUGCAUUUGAAACUGUAGGUCUUGAGUGCUGGAGAGGCAAUCGGAAUUCCGUGUGUAGCGGUGAAAUGCGUAGAUAUACGGAGGAACACCAGUGGCGAAGGCGGAUUGCUGGACAGUAACUGACGCUGAGGCGCGAAAGCGUGGGGAGCAAACAGGAUUAGAUACCCCAGUAGUC
rnacentral:rRNA from 1 species